rnacentral:lncRNA from 1 species
UGAGCCUCCUGCCUAUGGCGACCAGGCUCUCAAGACCGAGUACAGUAGCUAUGCCCGGCCCGGAGGUCACGGAGGCGCUCACGUCGAAGGUGAAUACGGUGGAAGGAAACCGGAGCAUGGCGGAUCUGGAUCUGAUUUUGGCCGGAAACCUGAAUCUGGGUAUGGCGGAAGAACGGAGGUCGAGUACGGACGGAGACCUGAAUCUGGGUAUGGCGGAAGAACGGAGGUUGAGUAUGGCCGGAAACCUGAAUCGGAGCACGGAUCUGGGUAUGGUGGGAGAAUGAAGUCUAAGGAAGAGGAAGAUGGAGACUACAGGAAGCCCAGCUAUGGCCAUCGCAAGGAUAAUGAUGAUGAUGAUGAGGAAGAGAGGCAUGGCUACAAAAAACACGUGAGUUUGAUUGGUUUUAAGGAAAAAUCGAAAUUUCUCAAUAUGUGUAGUUUCUACUUUGCAUCCAUAUUUUGUCGAAAUUUCUCAAUAUGUGUUGGAUUAUUUUGGAAUAUUCAUAGUCUAGAUAGAAUCUUUUACUGAUUUCAUUCAUUGACAUAUGUCUCAAAGAACAUCGCUUGAAACUUGAGAGGAGUCAAUUGAAUAACUUUUUUGCCUGAUUCUCUCACUGUUUACAAAAAUGGGUAAAGUUAGGUUUUUUGGAUGAAUUUUAGAGCCUUGAUCGUUAUUUUAAAUGUCGCAGAGUGGCAAGGACUCUGAUGACAAGAAGAAGGAGAAGAAGAAGGAUAAAGAU